AUACGUAGGGGGCGAGCGUUGUCCGGAAUGACUGGGCGUAAAGGGUGCGUAGGCGGCCUGCAGGGUCCUGGGUGAAAGGUCCCGGCUUAACCGGGGAGGGUCCUAGGAAACCGGCAGGCUAGAGGGCUGGAGAGGGCCGCGGAAUUCCCGGUGUAGCGGUGGAAUGCGUAGAUAUCGGGAGGAACACCAGUGGCGAAGGCGGCGGCCUGGACAGUACCUGACGCUGAGGCACGAAAGCUGGGGGAGCAAACAGGAUUAGAUACCCUGGUAGUCCCAGCCGUAAACGAUGAGUGCUAGGUGUGGUGGGGGCGAUCCCUGCCGUGCCGCAGGUAACCCAAUAAGCACUCCGCCUGGGGAGUACGGCCGCAAGGCUGAA
rnacentral:rRNA from 1 species